AAGAAAGUGAGUCUUUCAAAUUAUCUUAGGUUGUAUUUAAAAUUGUUUGAAUAAUCUUCACUAUUUCAUAUAAAACAUACAUAUCUCAAAUACGAGAUUUUACAUUUAUUUUUGAUUAGAAACAAGUAAUAGGCACACAUGUUUAGGUCUGGCUUAUAAACAAGUGACAGGCACAUGUGGGGUUUUAAUGGGAGAUUCAGUAGCACUGAAAUAAAUAGAAAAGACAUUUUUAAUUUCUACUGCAGAAUAAAAAUGUAAUGCUAUAAUUAUAAACUGUAAUCUUUUUUACAAUUCAAAAAUCUGAGGUUGAAGGUCUCUGUAUCAUCAAGGGGGAAGAAAUGAAAGUAAAAUCUUAGAUUAUUCUGGCACUGAGUGAAAACAGCCAGAACUUUGUGGAUUCCAGAAAUUUUUAGUUUACAUGUCAUGUAAACAACUAUUUUUUUAAUUAUAAAUAAAAAUAUAUGAUGAUUCUUACUAAAUUUUAGUCUGAUGUCAUAAGAAUGGAGAUAUAACCAAAUAUUUAAUUUUAUUAAUGGUUAGAAAUAUUACAAAUAAAACAUUACUUAAUUCUACUUUCAACCAUGACAGAGUCACUAAAAUCACCUUAAGCCUACUGCCAUAAAUAACUACAUUCAGUGACUAUAUAUAUAGGAAACAAACUGAGAACACAGGACAAGAAACAUGUGAAGUAUGUCCUGUGAUAUCACCCAAGCUUUCUGCCAGGAGGAUUUUUCAGAUCGUGGUGAAAAAAAGGUGUGAAGGGUAGAGAGAGGGAUAAUUAGUGACAAUAGGCUUUCUGGGUCGAGGAGACAGAGAAAAGUGUUUGGGAAAAUUGAGACACCUGGAAUAUCUUGGGCAAAGUGCUGGAGAAAAGGGAGCACUGUGGAAAAGAAUCCAAAAUCUGCAUAGGAGUCUCCCUGAGAGUGUUACUGAAUAUUAAGCCAUGCAUAUAUAUGGAAAAACUUCAGAAGGCCAGCCGAAGAACAACUAUGGGAGCUAUAAAUGUGAGUUCAACAAUUAUCAGAAUGCACAAAGGACUGGAGACAUAUUGGUUCUGAUAAGUCUUUUUUAAACAACCAAAGAAUUAAGGAGAGGCAUUAGAAGAGUAAUAUUUUAAUAGUAGGGUAAAAGUAGGUCAUUUUGGAAAAGUUUUAAAAUAUGCCUCAAAAAGAAACAAGCUAAUCUACAAGUAACUUUAGUUGCUUGUCAGAUUAAAGCCUAACGCUCUUUAAAGACAACUAAACUGAACAAUGACAUCAACAUAAAUUUAUAAGGCCCAGUAUCCAAUUAAAGCUUAACAGACAUGGAAGAAUCUAAAUUUGUCAUGAGUAGAAAGGUUAGUAGAAAAAGAUACUUAGAAAUGACAGAGCAGGUGGAGAUACUAUAAGCAAGCCUAAAAUUAAAAGAAAAGCAUGAAAAUAAUGAAGAGAGAAAUGCAAAGUAUAUAAAAGAACAAAUUGAACUUGUGUGGAUGAAAAAUACAAUUAUCAGAAGUGAAGAAUUCUGUGGAUGGGGUUAAUAGCUGAUUUAACACAAUUCAAAAAAGAUCAGUGAAAAUACAGCAAUAGCAAAUAUCCAAAGUGAAGAACAGAGAAAGAUAAAUGGUGGGAACUGACAAGAACUUCAUAAACAGCUUAAAAAUAUCAAGAUGUUAAACAUACAUGAAUUGGAGUUCAAAAAGAGAGAAAAAUAAAUACUUGAAAAAUAUUCCACAUUCUAUGAAACAAACUUACUGAUUCAAAACCUGUUAAAAAAACCUUACUGGGUAAAUCUAAAGACAAUCAUACCAAAGUAUUUCCUAAUGAAAUUGUUGAAAACCAGUGAAUGAAAGAAAAUUUUGAAAGUAGCCAGAGGAGAAAAGACCUAUUUUGUACAUAGGAGCAAAGAUUACCACAGUUUUUGCAUCAAAAAUUAAGUCAGAAAUCAAUUAAAUUCUAUUUUGAAAGACCUGAUAGAAAAAAAAAAAAAA
rnacentral:lncRNA from 1 species